rnacentral:rRNA from 1 species
GACGAACGCUGGCGGCGUGCCUAAUACAUGCAAGUAGAACGCUGAAGCUUGGUGCUUGCACCGAGCGGAUGAGUUGCGAACGGGUGAGUAACGCGUAGGUAACCUGCCUGGUAGCGGGGGAUAACUAUUGGAAACGAUAGCUAAUACCGCAUAACAGUAGAUGUCGCAUGACAUUUGCUUAAAAGGUGCAAUUGCAUCACUACCAGAUGGACCUGCGUUGUAUUAGCUAGUUGGUGAGGUAACGGCUCACCAAGGCGACGAUACAUAGCCGACCUGAGAGGGUGAUCGGCCACACUGGGACUGAGACACGGCCCAGACUCCUACGGGAGGCAGCAGUAGGGAAUCUUCGGCAAUGGACGGAAGUCUGACCGAGCAACGCCGCGUGAGUGAAGC